rnacentral:rRNA from 1 species
CACGGGGUUGCGAGCGUUGUCCGGAAUUACUAGGCGUAAAGGGCAGGCAGGCGGAUCCAUAAGUUUAUCGUUUAAGGCGUCGGCUUAACCGGCGUAGGGCGGUAGAUACUGUGGAUCUGGAAUGCGGUUGGGGAAGACAGAAUUCCUGGUGUAGCGGUGGAAUGCGCAGAGAUCAGGAGGAAUACCGAAGGCGAAGGCAGUCUUCCAAGCCGUUAUUGACGCUCAACUGCGAAGGUGUGGGUAUCAAACAGGAUUAGAUACCCGCGUAGUCCCU